CCGAAACCCACCCCUGCCACCGCUAGAGUCGCGGCUCUGUUGAUGACUUCUGGGAAGUGUUGGAAACAGGGCCUUAAAAAAAGAAUGGCGUCCAUUUACAUAAUGCUUUGUUUGCAUUUUGCAAGUUUUUUUCGGUUGAACCUACAGAAAUCCCACAGUGUCGUUUUAGUCGUGGCAGUCUCGACAGGCAUUUAGGACAAUGGUGUGCUCCUUUUGGGACCGCAUUUAGUCAGGGUUGCUGAGUUAGUGCUUGGAGAAUUCUUGCGAUUUCCCCCCACACUCUUCACUUUCCCGCUUCUGCGUUUCGGCCUUUCCCCCGUUUCCCCUUUUGGUGCGAUCGCCUCGCCCCGCUCCCCUUGGGGGCGGCCCCUGUCGGGCCCCGCCAUCUUGGAAGGCCUUUCUUGCCGGUUCGCCACCGCACGUCCCUCUCGCCAAAGAAAGGUCGCUUGGGAGGCUCGUAUGAAUUCACUUAGGCCCAGAGAGAUGAAGUGACUAAUUCAAGGUCACACAGUGGAGGAUGGAUUCCAGACCUUCUGAUUUCCUUAUUGACCUGCAGUAUCUUGUGUAUACGUGAUUGAAUUCCACACCACCCAUUUUACAGAUGAAGCCACUGAGAUAUGGAACAAUUGACUAAAUAGUCACUGCCCCACCCCUGGAGCCUCACACAUGACUCUUCUCCUCCCAUUUGAAUGACUGCAGGUGAUCUCAACUUCUCUGACAGCUCCACUUAACCAUCUACACAUGGAUGAUGCCCAGAUCUUUCUAUGAACCACAGUAUCCAACUGCUCAUGUGGACAACAUCACAAGGAUGUUUUGCACACUCGGCAAAAUGCAGCCUCCUGCUCUUCCCCACUUGCUCGUCAUCCAUUGUCCUCAUCACAUGUGAAAAGUGGUCUUGUCACUGUAAAUAUGGUGGUUGAGAAUGUGACUCUGAUAUGAUGUGAUGUGAUAUGGUAUAUGAUUCUGGAGCCAGCCUGCUGGGGCCUGAAUUCGGACAUAACCACUUACUGUGUGUGACCUUGGUUCUCUAAGCACAUGCUAUUGGAUAAUCCUGCCUGGAUCAGUCCUUUCCUCACCUUGGACUUCACCUUCUUUUCCUCUUUAUUCUAUCUGCUAAAGUUGCCAGCCAGCCUCUUUCACCCCAGAGGGGGAUCCGGCUCCUGAAAUCCCAGCCUAUAGCUAGUGCCUCAUGCUUCCUGGGGGCUUGCCAAGAAAGUCAAGUAAGUAGAACAUGCACGUUGCUAAAGAGUACCUCAGAGAACUCCCAUACUGAAUUGUGAUUUAUAGGCAGCAUAGUACAUUGUGCCAAGUGAUUACACUUAGGCCUUUUUUAAUUGUAAUAAUCUGCUUCUGUGAUCCUGUAUGUGGAAAACCCAGAAGUGUCUCUGUGGUCCUCCUUUCUGGAUCACUAAGAAGUCAAGACACAGUCCCACUCUGCCACCUGUAUUAAUCUGACUGUUGAAACCAUUCAGAGAAGCAAGGUAUGUUUCUGGAAGUAGAGCCCAGGCCUCCUACAGGCUAUUCUAAGGCUGUAACCAUGAUCAAAUCUGUUGCUGCUUCAUUUAAAAGAACUUAGAAUAGUGUUGGAAACAUCAUAGGAUUAAAGCACCACUGUAGCUUCUUGGCUAAGGAAGUGGUGUAUGGUGGCCAGAGAAGAUGUGGUAGCAAAGGCUCCCAAGUUCUUUUCUGGACCUGUUGAUUUGAGGUGAGACAUUUGACAAUCGGAGAUGAUGUCCUUUAGCUCUCAUGGUUUCUCAUCUUCAACACAGAGUGAUGUGGGUGGGCCAUGCUUGUAGAGAGAGAGGCUGACAUUGUGAUCUAGAAAAGCUCAUCAUUAGGUGUCCUUCCUUUCAUUUGAAUUUCUAGUUCUAUUUUUAUUUUAUUAUUAUUUUUUUAGUUUUUAAAGAUUUUUGUUAUUUUAAGUAAUCUCUGUACCCAAUGUGGGGCUUGAACUCACAACCCCGAGAUCAAGAGUCGCGCUCUCCACCAACUGAGCCUGUCAAGCACCUCUGUAACUCUUUUUUUUUUAAAUGUAGAAAUCCUACACGCACAGAAUUAAUAUAGGAACCCAGCAACAUCCACAUUUUACUUGAAUUCAUUUCAUCAGAAUUGCUUUCCUUUUAAUAGUGUGAUUAGAUCAGUUCUAAGGGAUGGAAACUGAUAAGGCUUAGGAAAAGAAGGCUAGGUUUGUGUGGGGCACACACCUUGGCCUUGGACAGCUAGAGAAUAACAUUAGGGCACCAGGUACAUGAUGAACUAGAUGGGAGAGAACAAACUCUUUAUUCCUGGAGAGCCAGGCAUGUGUCAGAUUUUCAUAUGUUUUCUUUUUUUUUUUCUUCUUUUUCUUUUUCAUAUGUUUUCUUACUUAAUUAUCAUAAUGGAAACCAAUGAAGUAUCAUCUUCAUUUUUUCACAUGGGCAAGCUGAUAGUCAAAGAAGUUAUGUAACUUGCCCAAUGUCAGACAGCUAAUAAAAGGCUGAGCUAGGAUUUACUUCUCCUCAGGUCUGUCCAGUUCCAAAGCCCAUGCUGUUUUCACAGAGCUUGUCUGUCUCUGACAAGAUUUAAGGAAAGAGGGUAGGGAAGGCAGAGAAGAUGGGAGAGAUGCCAUCUUUCUCUGCCUCACAGUUGUACUUGUUGAGACGUGUUUAGCCAGAGCAUCUUGUUUAUAGAAUGCUAGGUUCUAUAUAUAGAGAUGCUGCAACAACAUAUGUGGGAAAGAUACCAAUUGGCUCUAGGGGAGGAUUUUAAAAAAGUCUUUGUUCUUUACCUCUAGGUCUUCAUUGCAGUGUAAUCCACAAGUGUCAAAACACCACUGGCAACUCUGGUUUACUGCUUAAGAGGCACUUAUCCUAUUCUCCAGAUAACAUUUAUUGAUGUGUCCCAAGGAGUAAGCUAUGAUGGGGGCAGAGGUGAGGGUGUGGUGUGCCCUUACUGUAUGUACUGGAGCUGGUGGCACCUGUUAUGUGACUAUUACGGUGAAUUAUUACUGAGUAAACAAGAGGUGUCUCUCUUUUGCCUUUCUAAGGGAGACCAGAUGGCAGUGGUUGCUGGCUUAGGUCCAGGGGAGCCUGGCCUCUGGGCUGGCAGAGGAGACAGCUUGAGUGUGUCAGGUGAUGGAAUAAGAAGAAACAAGGCUGGAUUGUCAAGUGGUAUAAUUUCAGGGGCACCAAGAAUGUGUCCUGCCUCUCUAAGACUUACUUCAGCUCUUUGCUAGUGCUUGGAAUUCAGCAAGUGAAAUUUAUUUCCCUUAAUUUAAGUCUUCGAGACCCUAUUAAAAACGAAGAUAUGAAGAAUUUAGGCAUGAUGUUGUCUGGAGAAUAGCUGACAGGCAGAAUGUAACAAGGAGUGUGAUGGUCUGUGGUUUGCUGUGAUGUCCUCAGACAAGACUGGCAUAGAUCUUAGGAAGUAGGAGGCAGCUUCCCAGAAGUGAUGUAAAAUGGUGGCGCAAAAGAGGCUGCUGGUGACAACAUGGGCAGGGCACUUCCUCAGAGGCUGCUGGUCGCAGACAACUUCUGGUCUUGAUUUCCCAAUAUGUUGUGCUGAGAUAGGGCUUUACCAGAAAGCAAAAUAAGCCACGUAAAAAGGAAUGACAAAGCAUUUGGGGUGUCCAUGCAAAGGUGCAGUUCCCCCUUGUCCACUAACUUUGGUGGAGCCAGAAUAACUAAUCCAGAGGCUGCCAGCAUAGAGCCUUUGAUUCAGAUCUACAGCUUUUUUGGCUUGAAUUCCUCCAAAGAGAGCUUUUCUAGUUGACUGUUCAUCAUCUUUCUUCUAGCACUGCUCUCAAACUGCCUUAGUAAUCUAAUUCUCACAUCUUUUCUCCCCCAGGGAGUCUUCGACAGAAGCAACUUAAAUCUUCAUACCUUUCCCAGCUCCUCACAGUUGGGUUCAUGGAUGCCCUUCACCCACUUGCUUCAACUUCUACUCUAUCCAUGUUCCUACCCUAAGUGUAGAGCAUUUUGUUUUGGAUAAGACUUUUGGCUUCAUUCAGGCCUCUGGGGUCCUUCCAACACAUUUCCCAGAAGGCUAUUCUAGGAAUGGUCUCCACCCCUCACCUCCUGAAAUUUGACAGGGUCUGGACCUCUCUUCUUUGUGAAAUUAGUGCAACUCUGUGGAAGUGUCUGGAUAUAUCACACCCCUUCCUGUCUCCCCAACCACCACACCCAUACAGAAGAUCUAGUGAUGUAGCUAGGAUCUGCUGAUCACCAGGACUUUGUAGCCAGUGCCCCCAGCAGGGAGGGACUCCUGGAUAGGUUUACUAUACUGUGAACGACACCUAUGUCCACUACUCUCUGCCUCUCUUCCAUCUCACCUUUAUUUUGUCUUUUCCCUAAGAAGACAAAGAUCUGUCCAGUUGUCCUGCCUUGACCCCCUAGUCUUAUCUUGGACUAGAACUCUGCUGUCAACCCCUCAACAGGGGCUGGGGCUUUUGCUUUCCAGCCUCUCUAAGGUCAGGUCACUUCUCUGAUACUGGAGACUUUUCUUUUUUUUUUUUUUAAUUUUUUUUUUA